AUUGAACGCUGGCGGCAUGCCUUACACAUGCAAGUCGAACGGUAACAGGUCUUCGGAUGCUGACGAGUGGCGAACGGGUGAGUAAUACAUCGGAACGUGCCUAGUAGUGGGGGAUAACUACUCGAAAGAGUGGCUAAUACCGCAUGAGAUCUACGGAUGAAAGCAGGGGAUCGCAAGACCUUGUGCUACUAGAGCGGCCGGUGGCAGAUUAGGUAAUUGGUGGGAUAAAAGCUUACCAAGCCGACGAUCUGUAGCUGGUCUGAGAGGACGAUCAGCCACACUGGGACUGAGACACGGCCCAGACUCCUACGGGAGGCAGCAGUGGGGAAUUUUGGACAAUGGGCGCAAGCCUGAUCCAGCAAUGCCGCGUGCAGGAUGAAGGCCUUCGGGUCGUAAACUGCUUUUGUACGGAACGAAAAGCCCCGGGUUAAUACCCUGGGGUCAUGACGGUACCGUAAGAAUAAGCACCGGCUAACUACGUGCCAGCCGCCGCCGUAA
rnacentral:rRNA from 1 species